rnacentral:rRNA from 1 species
CCUACGGGAGGCAGCAGUGAGGAAUAUUGGUCAAUGGUCGGGAGACUGAACCAGCCAAGCCGCGUGAGGGAUGAAGGUACAGAGUAUCGUAAACCUCUUUUGUCAGGGAACAAAGGCGGGGACGCGUCCCCGGAUGAGUGUACCUGAAGAAAAAGCAUCGGCUAACUCCGUGCCAGCAGCCGCGGUAAUACGGAGGAUGCGAGCGUUAUCCGGAUUUAUUGGGGUAAAAGGGUGCGCAGGCGGUAGGUUAAGUCAGAGGUAAAAGCCAGGGGCGCAACCCCGGCCCGCCGUUGAAACUGGCAGUCUCGAGUUGGAGAGAAGUAUGCGGAAUGCGCGGUGUAGCGGUGAAAUGCAUAGAUAUCGCGCAGAACUCCGAUUGCGAAGGCAGCAUGCCGGCUCCACACUGACGCUGAGGCACGAAAGCGUGGGUAUCGAACAGGAUUAGAUACCCUUGUAGUC